rnacentral:rRNA from 1 species
AGAUUGAACGCUAGCGGGAUGCUUUACACAUGCAAGUCGAACGGCAGCACGGGAGCAAUCCUGGUGGCGAGUGGCGAACGGGUGAGUAAUAUAUCGGAACGUGCCCAGUCGUGGGGGAUAACGCAGCGAAAGCUGUGCUAAUACCGCAUACGAUCUAUGGAUGAAAGCGGGGAUCGCAAGACCUCGCGCGAUUGGAGCGGCCGAUAUCAGAUUAGGUAGUUGGUGGGGUAAAGGCCCACCGAAGCCGACGAUCUGUAGCGUGUCUGAGAGGACGACCAGCCACACG